AACGCAUCUUGCGCUCCUUGGUAUUCCGAGGAGCAUGCCUGUUUGAGUGUCAUUAAGCUCUCAACUGCACUAGUUUUAUCUAGUUGUAGCUUGGAUGUGGGGGUUUUGUUUUUGCAGGCUUCAGAUAAUGAAGUCGGCUCCCCUAAAAUGUAUUAGUGGUCUCUGAGCAGAGAAAACGGUGUGAUAAUUAUCUAUGCCUUAGUACUUUGCAUGAAAAGAUUGUAUCGCUUCUAACACAAAGUGACUCCACUUUAUGUUUGACAAAUUUGACCUCAAAUCAGGUAGGACUACCCGCUGAACUUAA
rnacentral:misc_RNA from 1 species